CCAGGUCCAGUUUUUCUGCUGCUGCUGAAUCAACAGCUCUGAUGAGCCAAACGCUACUGACGUUCGGAACCGAGCGCGAUGAGGGUAAAUCCGGAUCUGGACUCCUUUCCCACCAUCAGCAGAAGAACCGAAGGAGAAGAAGCGCCUGAUCAACAACCAGAACAGGGUGGAAGCUCUGACACCACAGCAGCUGGAGGACACAGACCACAGCAUGGACGCCUCACAGACUCCCACAACAACUGCAGCCAUCACGUUCUGGGCUCAUCAGAUGAACCAGCUACUACAAGCGUGUGUGUCUGACACAGACACCUGCUUAUGACAAUCAGCAAAGGAAAACAAGGACAGAGCAACAGCAGAGAAGACGUGCUCUGACGCAGACACUGGUUGAAACAACAGGAGAGGCUUCAGACGUGAUCGGCCCAAUAGAGCUGCAUCUGAGGAUCCAGGAAAGGUCUGUCAUCGAGGAACAACUGUCCCAUUGAAAGGCUUCACCCACUGGCGCUCACAUCAGACUGAUGGUUGGGGAAGGAGGAAGGUGACGGUUCCUUUUCACGUGACGUAGAAGACGGUACCGCAAAAACACACACACAUUCAUACACGCAAUGAAGAAACACGCUUACAGCUGAUACACGCUCAAAUUCAUGUUCAUGCUUAUCUGCUCGCAAUGAAGAAUCGCUUUUUGCUCAAAAAAAAAUCCCACAGAGUGAUUUUAAAAUGAUGACAAACAGCUAAAUGACAACUGCUGCAUGACUUUACAGUCUGAUGGGUUUAAACUAUUUUAACUUGCAACAAAUUCAGUAAUAAAAUCCUUCAUGUUUCUAAAAAGAUUUGUGCACACUAUAGGUUCGUCUGGCCAGACUAGAAGAAAACAAAAUAAAACCAGACUGUAGAAAAAACAAAACCAGACUAUAGGAAGACUGAGACUGACUGAAACAGACUAUCAAUGACUAUUAAAGGGAAGACGACUAUUAGAGAGAAGUAAUAAUAAUUACUGUACGUACCAGACUAUUAAAGAAAAACUUACUGUCCACUGUCUUGUGCAACAUCUGACAGCAAACUUAUGCCCAGUUAAUUUUUAGGAAGAGAUCUCAUGUAGUUUAGAUAUUUGAUGUAUUUCCACUCCAGACGGAGUGCAGGUUACGUCUACAGACAUUCUAAAUAAUCCCUCUUUUGUUGGUGUUCACUUCAGCUCAGCUGUGCUCUUAUCAUUAGCUGCUGAGAGGGGGCUGUAACUGAGGCCCUCACACAGGCUGCAUCACAGCUUGUUUAUGAUUUCACACACACACACACACACUAACAAACUGACCUCAACUUCCCUCUUUUGGGAUGAACACAGGUCUGCGCUUGCGAUUUCUUUUACUAACGAACAAAAAGAUUUUGAUUUUUAUUCUACAGUUCCACACGUCCCUCUGUGAAAACAUGAUGGAGACAGAUGACAGGACGUGGGUCCUUUCGUGAACAGAUGUCAACGGGGUGGAGACUGGUGAACGACUUCCGACCCCAUGUGACGUAUUUACCCACAUUACAUGCUUUUGUUUUUAUUUUUAUUUUUCAGAGGACGCUCUGACCCAACACUCAGCCUUACAGGAAGCCCUGCUUCCCUGUGGCUCACACACAGACAUGAUGUAGGUUCAAUCAGAGGAUGUGAACCAGUGGUCAUCACACCUAAAUCUGACCACAGACCAUGUAAACAACAACACCCUCUUAAAGGAGCCAUAGAUGGUGUUACUGCAGACACCACUAAGCUACUGAAACAUUGGAUGCUACAGGCCACAAAGAGAGCCUGUCUAAAUUACACUUUGUUCAGACAAAGGUUAUUUUCUGGGUCAUUGUAAUUACAGCUGAUGGCAAAUCCAUCUCACCCAACAGAGUUGAAGCAAUUUGAAACCUGCCUAAACCGUGCACGUAUAAACAGCUUAUCUUUUCUAGGUUUUUGUUCUUAUUGUAGGAACUUCAUUCUUAACUUUACUGUCUUUGAGGCCCCACUCAGGGUUCUGAUGCAGACGUCUUCAUCGUCCACUUCUUGUCUCACGUGGACGUCUGAGGCUGAACAACGUUCACUAACCUCAUGCUUGCUCUUCAGUUGGCUCCUACUUUGGGUCUUCCUGAUCUGACCCUACGCGACCUUUCACUCAAACAGUGGAUGAGAAAUCAGGUUGUACGACUUCUAUUCUUUUGUCCUUAUACUUUGAUUCUUUUGGAAUAGAUCACAUCUUUCUACAGCCUGAUGGCUUAGAUGCAACACCACCUUGCUCAACAUGCUAAACGUUAUUAUCAAGAUGCCGUCUUGAAGUCUAGUGCUUUGCUAAGACACUACUCUGCUCAGGCUGCAGAGUUGAUUACGUUGACUGAAGCUGGUAAACUAGCAGAAGGAGAGUCUGUUACCAUCUACACAGACUCCACAGACGCUCUGUGGAAGCAUGGGAAGCUUUUGAAGUCUGAUUGCAAACCUAUCUCACAUCAUGAUACGGUUCUGCUUUGCUGGACGCUGUCCUGCUACCUACAGCUAAUGCUGUUUGUAACUGUCCGACUCUGACACUGACACCAUCAGUGACGACUUUGUUUCUGCCGACAUGCAGCUGCAGACGCUGCUGCGAAGGUCACUGCCCAACAACCCCUCCCUCUCCUGAUCCUCAUUUCCCUCUCCAACUCUCUCUACCCUCUCCUUCCUCUUCUCUCCCUGUGCUUUAAACAUUUUCUACCUCACAGGAACGCAGACUCUGGCUGACGAAUGGUUCCACCUGUAGCCAUGGAGUCUGGUUUGGGCCUGAUGGCAGCCGUGCGGCCCAAACACUUUUUCCCCACGAUUUAGAUUUCCCAACAGGUUAAAACAGGCGACAGGACCAUUACACCAUCCAACCAGGGGACUGGGCGAUCGUUAAGGAGUUCAGGAGGAAGCAUUGGGACUCCAAACGGUGGCAAGGUCCCUUCCAGGUCCUUCUGACGACCAACACGGCUGUGAAGAUCGCAGUGAGAGCGACUUGAAACCACUACUGCAGGAAGGUCCCGGAUCCGACAGACGACCCUCCAUCUACAUCUACAUCCCACGGAGAAAACCACCACUGACGAAAAGAACUGAGAAGGACGACCCUCGCUGUGCUCACACACGCACUGAGGCGAGGCUGCGUUGACCGUUCAGCUAAAGGUGUGAGCCAAGCGCCGCCUGAAGCUGCGCCGGUGAAUCACACUAUCAGAC